AGGAAUCGAAACUGGACAGGAGGGGCGGCGCCCUGGGCUUUCAGGAAGUCACGUGGGUCCUGGGAGGGGGAUGACGGGCCUCUGAGCUAGUGCUGGAAGCUGGAGGUGGGACGACAAGCAGAGUUCUGAUGGUUCCCCAACCCCCGCGGGCCGGAGCGACCUCCGCAUGACCACCAGUUACCGUUUCAGGGCCACUCCGCAGAUGAACUGUCGCAAGAGUAGGGGUAUUUCUAUUCCCCCAGUUGGGGCCUACGUCCUACCUGAGUGCAGCACUGCUUUGGAGAAGAUUCAUCCGUGCCCUAGGUGUCCCAACCGCCCCUCCAGAACAAGAAGGGUCUUAUUAUCCUCAUUAAAAUCAAAGCAAAAACAGAACAGAAUACUGUAGACACAGAGCGCAAUGGCUCACGCCUGUAAUUCCCGUCACUUGGAAUGCUGAAGCAGGAGAAUUGCCACGAGUUGAUGCCAGCCUAGGCUACACAGUCCCCCAUUCUGGGUGGAGUACAGAACACAUGGGUGGACAGGAAGGUACCAAGUGUUCAUUGGGAAAUUCGAUGGUGGCAAAGAGAAGUUUUUAGAGAAAUUAUGGGAGUUUACUGUGGAUGACAAGGUUGGGCAGCCAUGAGGACAAGGACCUAUCAUCCUGUCUAUUCAUGGUAGUUGUCUACACGGAAAAAGAAGACAAAAGGAUGCUGGGUGAGAUGCUGAGACCCUCCUUACAAUAACCUCUGGAGGAGAUAAAAUCAUCCCAUGUUACAGAGAAAGCACAGGCGCAGAAAAACAGCAAUCUAACUAAGACAAUGGACACUGGCAUGAGGCCUAUCUGGUUCCAGAAG